rnacentral:rRNA from 1 species
GUACGUAGGGUGCGAGCGUUGUCCGGAAUUAUUGGGCGUAAAGAGCUUGUAGGCGGUUUGUCGCGUCUGCUGUGAAAAUCCGGGGCUCAACUCCGGACUUGCAGUGGGUACGGGCAGGCUAGAGUACUAAAGAGGGUCGCGGAAUUCCCGGUGUAGAGGUGAAAUUCGUAGAUAUCGGGAGGAACACCGGUGGCGAAGGCGGCGACCUGGGUAGAUACUGACGCUGAGGUGCGAAAGCGUGGGGAGCAAACAGG